rnacentral:rRNA from 1 species
GAUGAACGCUAGCUACAGGCUUAACACAUGCAAGUCGAGGGGCAGCAUGGUCUUAGCUUGCUAAGGCCGAUGGCGACCGGCGCACGGGUGAGUAACACGUAUCCAACCUGCCGUCUACUCUUGGACAGCCUUCUGAAAGGAAGAUUAAUACAAGAUGGCAUCAUGAGUCCACAUGUUCACAAGAUUAAAGAUUUAUCGGUAAGCGAUGGGGAUGCGUUCCAUUAGGCAGUUGGCGGGGUAACGGCCCACCAAACCUACGAUGGAUAGGGGUUCUGAGAGGAAGGUCCCCCACAUUGGAACUGAGACACGGUCCAA